CCUACGGGUGGCAGCAGUAGGGAAUAUUGCUCAAUGGGGGAAACCCUGAAGCAGCAACGUCGCGUGGAGGAUGACGGUCUUCGGAUUGUAAACUCUUUUUGUUAGAGAAGAUAAUGACGGUAUCUAACGAAUAAGCACCGGCCAACUCCGUGCCAGCAGCCGCGGUAAUACGGAGGGUGCAAGCGUUACUCGGAGUCACUGGGCGUAAAGAGGGCGUAGAUGGGAUAGCAAGUCAGUUGUGAAAUCCUAUGGCUUAACCAUAGAACUGCAUUUGAAACUGUUAUCCUUGAGUAUGGGAGAGGUAGGUGGAAUUCUUGGUGUAGGGGUGAAAUGCGUAGAGAUCAAGAAGAAUACUCAUUGCGAAGGCGACCUGCUAGAACAUAACUGACACUGAUGCGCGAAAGCGUGGGGAGCAAACAGGAUUAGAUACCCCUGUAGUC
rnacentral:rRNA from 1 species